rnacentral:piRNA from 1 species
UGAAUUAUCAUUAAGAUGGGAAAGGCUCUC